AUUGAACUAUAAAUAAACUGGAAGGCUAACUCAGGGGGGGAAAUUGAAGCCAGUGCAUUUUAGUUUUUCUGAGUUAUGAGAAGAAAUACUCAACACUGAACGUUGGGCUAUAUAUCAAAUUGAAGCUAUUGAAAAACUCUAUUUGGUGUAGAAAUUUCAAGACUUUAGCUAAAAGGGAAAUAUUGAAAAACUACAAACAUAAUUACCGAUAAUUUGCCGUUUUGCAGUUGUUUUUGUAUUUUUUAAAUAUUUUUCUUUUCGCUGAAGUCUUGAAAUUUCCACACCGAAUAGCAAUUUUCAAUAGCUUCAAUUUGAUAUAUAGCCCGACGUUUGUGGUCAAGUAUUUCUGCUCAUAACUCAGAAAAACUAUUUUGGCUUCAUCAAAUCAUAGGCCUUCAUCAUAGCAGUUAGCCUUCCAGUUUAUUUAUAGUUCAAUGGGGUGGACUCAUUGAACUAAAAAUAACUGGAACGCUACG